rnacentral:tRNA from 1 species
GCGAGUAUGGUAUAAUGGCUAUUACGCGACCUUGCCAAGGUCGAAACACGAGUUCGAUUCUCGUUACUCGCU